AAAAAACAAGCUCCUUUUAACUGAUUUCCACAUCUUUUAGCCCUCCACAGGGCUAGCCAGGCUUCGAUCCUUGCCAUCAAACCAAAAACAGAAAACACAAACUGCGCUAUAUCCUUGUUUUAAAUGUCAAAAGUUGGCACUAAAAGUGCAGCCACUGCUGCAGCUAACCUCGCAAACCUUCUGCCAACCGGCACAGUGCUUAUAUUUGAAGCCAUUGUACCUUCCUUUUCAAAUAAUGGUGAGUGUGUUCUAGCCAAUAAGUACCUCACUUUAGCCGUGAUUGUUUGUUGUUCUCUAGUUUGCUUUUUCUCUUCCUUCACUGAUAGCUUCGUAGGGCAGAAUGACAAGAAGCUUUAUUAUGGUAUCGCCACCUUUAAAGGGUUAUAUGUAUUCAACGAUAGCGAUUGCGCCGAUGGAAAUGGAAGCGAAGAACUGGAUGGGGCCCAGAUGAAAAAUUACAAAAUCACUCUGAUAGACUUUGUGCAUGCCUUCGCAUCGCUAACUGUGUUCUUGGUUUUUGCUCUUAGUAGCUCGGAUGUGCAAGAAUGUUUCUUUCCCAAGGCAGGACCUAAUGAGAAACAACUGAUCAUGAAUUUGCCAUUAGGAGCUGGGCUUUUGAGCACCUUUUUGUUCAUGGUAUUUCCCACUAAACGGAGAGGAAUUGGCUAUGGAGACGUGCCGCGUUCCAACAUCUGUAAAACAUCCGACACUGGGGACCAAAACACCCAGAAACAAACAGCUUAAGUUUUUAGAUUGAGCUCACAAUGGGCUAAUAUAGGUUGGCUUUUGUGAAUCUUGAAAUGUACUUGUAAGUGUAUUUGCAUUGUGUCAAAGUUGAGAAGGAAGAGCUGAAGAGUACUUCUGAAUCACUUUGAUGGAACCUAUCAUUAAUCACCUAAAUUCUCCUUGCAUACAAUCAGCUUGGAGCAUAUAUAUGCAAGAUAGAUGAAGUUGAAAAUAAAAUUGUAGGCCCUGUAAGCUAAAAUGAGCUUGAUUUUGAUGAUAACAAAACUUAAUGAAAUAUACAUUAACCUUUUAUGCAUAAGUAUUUGAAGUGAUUUUAUAGGUCAUGAUAUGCAAAGACACUGAUGGAAGGACUAUUCUAUUGACAUGGCUGAUAUAAAAGGAGUUUAUCAUCUUGUAUAACACAAGAUGAAUCAAAAUCAAGGAAGAGAGAAUAGAAUUUGGUCAUAUAGGUCAAAUGUAAGGGAUUAAGGAGACUUUUUGCCAAAAGAUGAACUAUAUAUAUUUUUUUUUAAUUCAAACUUUUGGAUAUCAUUUUUAUCAUAUUUCUAAGGUUUUUGAGUGGCCAAAAUAGUUUUUCUAAGUGUUCUAAGAAAAUCCAAAAUCUUGAAGUUCAAAUCAGACAGUAGUGAAAUUAGUUAGCUACUUUAAAUGUUAAUUUUAUCAGAAACCAAAUUAGCUACCUAACUUUAGCCUGCCUUACUUUUAGCUACCUAAUUCUCACCUGGAUAACAUUUUUAGCUACCUAAUUUUGAUCACCCCUGUCUGAAAUCAGUUUGCACAAUUUUCUAUGGACCAAUGGCUAGUUUUUCAAAAUUUUCUAGCUGUUGGACAUAUAUUUGAUUUGAUUCUUUCACCCUUCAAACAUGCCUAUAUAAGGUUUCAUUUACUACCUUUCACCAUGAAAGCAUUUCAACUCUAAGAGAUUUAUUGUAAUCAUUUAUGAGCUUUCAUUCUUGAGCUUCAUUUUUAUCAUUAUUAUAUCAUUGGCAAAUCUUCUCUCUAACCUUAAUAGCUCUUCAAUCUUGUAUUUAUGAGUGAAUGAGAGUGAUUCUUAUAAACCAAAACAUAUUUAUAGUUCUCAAGCAUCUUAUAGGCUUGAAGUUGAGUGUUCUUGUGAAGAAGAACUUGUAAACGUUUCAAGCACCUAGUAAAGGCUUGUGAGACUGUAAAAGGCUUGUCUUUUGCCCAUUGAAAAGAGCAUUUAGUGGACAGUGACUCUCAAAGAAGUUCUUUGAGGAGUGGGUGUAGGCUUGGAGGGCCGAACCACUGUAAAACUAUUGUGUUUGAUCUUCCUCUCCCUUAACUCUUUCAUUUCAGCACUUUGAUUACCUUUAUUGUUGUGAUUCUGUUGAUACAUUUUCUGAAAUUGCUGAAAUUGAAGUAUAUUGAGUUGUAACUUUGUCACUGAGCUUGAAUAUAAAAGGCAUACUUGGCUUGGUUAAAGUGUGAUUGUUUGGAUAUUGUCUCUUGAGCACAUUUAACUCGGUCAAAAAGUAAUAUUCACACACUUUGUUUGUCUAUCAUCAAUUUUUCAUAAGUGUCUUGAGUAAGGGCUAAAAAAUUGUUAUCCAAUUCAGUCCCCCUUGACCAUUUUCUUUGGGACAAUAAGUAUAUAUUUUUCCUUAAUUGAAUCGAUUCACUUUAUUUAUUAAUGCUUUAAUAUUUUCCUUAACUGUUCUUAUCAAAUUUCUUUACUUAUAAUUAUAACAAUCAAAAUUUUUUCUUUAAAUAUAAUAAAUUGCCUUAAUUAUAUUACAAGUUAUAAUUGAUAAAAAAUAUCACUUAUAUAUCAAAUUUCUGUUAUUUUUAAUUUAUUUGCAAGGGGGUUAUUACAUGGCCCGUCCUAGGGACAUGCCACAAUAUUUUUUUUUCCAAAAUUUUUUUCAAAUCCGGGCCAAACUGGACCAAACCAGCGGUUUCAGUCCUGUACAGUUUGCAAGUUGGGGGGGGACUGUAACUGCGAGCACCCCCCCUU
rnacentral:misc_RNA from 1 species